rnacentral:rRNA from 1 species
CAAUACUUUGGUGGCGACCGGCGCACGGGUGCGUAACGCGUAUGCAACCUACCUUUAACAGGGGCAUAACACUGAGAAAUUGGUACUAAUUCCCCAUAACAUUCGAGAAGGCAUCUUCUUGGGUUAAAAACUCCGGUGGUUAAAGAUGGGCAUGCGUUGUAUUAGCUAGUUGGUGAGGUAACGGCUCACCAAGGCAACGAUACGUAGGGGGACUGAGAGGUUAACCCCCCACAUUGGUACUGAGACACGGACCAA